GAGCGGAGUACUUCGGUACUUAGCGGCGAACGGGUGAGUAAUGCCUAGGAAUCUGCCUGAUAGUGGGGGAUAACGUUCGGAAACGAACGCUAAUACCGCAUACGUCCUACGGGAGAAAGGGGGCGCAAGCUCUCGCUAACAGAUGAGCCUAGGUCAGAUUAGCUAGUUGGUGAGGUAAAGGCUCACCAAGGCGACGAUCUGUAGCGGGUCUGAGAGGAUGAUCCGCCACACUGGAACUGAGACACGGUCCAGACUCCUACGGGAGGCAGCAGUGGGGAAUAUUGGACAAUGGGCGAAAGCCUGAUCCAGCCAUGCCGCGUGUGUGAAGAAGGCCUUUUGGUUGUAAAGCACUUUAAGCGGGGAGGAGGGCACCGUGGUUAAUACCCACGAAUGUCGGACGUUACCCGCAGAAUAAGCACCGGCUAACUCUGUG
rnacentral:rRNA from 1 species